CGCGAGACAACUCUCUCUAAGGAACUCGGCAAAAUUACCUCGUAACUUCGGAAGAAGAGGUACCCCUUCACGGGGGUUGCAAUAGAUUGACCCUGGCGACUGUUUACCAAAAACACAGGUCUCCGCUAAUUCGUAAGAAAAAGUAUGGGGGCUGACGCCUGCCCAGUGCCGGAAGGUUAAAGAAGUUGAUUAGUCCUUGGACAAAGCUAGCGACUGAAGCCCCGGUGAACGGCGGCCGUAACUAUAACGGUCCUAAGGUAGCGAAAUUCCUUGUCGGGUAAGUUCCGACCCGCACGAAAGGCGUAACGAUCAGGGUACUGUCUCGGAGAGAGGCUCGGCGAAAUAGACAUGUCUGUGAAGAUGCGGACUACCUGCACCUGGACAGAAAGACCCUAUGAAGCUUUACUGUAUCUUGGAAUUGGGUUUGGUCUUUGCAUGCGCAGGAUAGGUGGGAGGCUUUGAAGAUGAUCUUGCGGGGUCGUUGGAGCCACUGGUGAGAUACCACCCUUGCAAUGAUAAAAUCCUAACUUUGAACCGUUAUCCGGUCAAAGAACAGUUUCAGGUGGGCAGUUUGACUGGGGCGGUCGCCUCCUAAAAGGUAACGGAGGCGUGCAAAGGUUCCCUCAGGCUGGUUGGACAUCAGUCGUAGAGUGUAAAGGCAUAAGGGAGCUUGACUGCGAGACCAACAAGUCGAGCAGAGACGAAAGUCGGCCUUAGUGAUCCGGCGCUUCCGAGUGGAAGGGGCGUCGCUCAACGGAUAAAAGUUACUCUAGGAUAACAGGCUGAUCUCCCCCAAGAGUUCACAUCGACGGGGAGGUUUGGCACCUCGAUGUCGGCUCAUCGCAUCCUGGGGCGGUAGUACGUCCCAAGGGUUGGGCUGUUCGCCCAUGAAAGCGGUACGCGAGCUGGGUUCAGAACGUCGUGAGACAGUUCGGUCCAUAUCCGGUGCAGGCGUUAGAGUAUUGCGAAGACUCCUCCUUAGUACGAGAGGACCGGGGGGAAUGCACCGCUGGUGUACCAGUUAUCGUGCCAACGGUAAACGCUGGGUAGCCAAGUGCAGUUUGGAUAACUGCUGAAAGCAUCUAAGUAGGAAGCCAGCUUCAAGAUGAGUACUCUCACCGCUUCAAGCGGGUAAGAUCACGGCAAGAACAGCCGUUUGAUAGGCAUCAAGUGUAAGUGCAGUAAUGUAUUCAGCUGAGAUGUACUAAUAGAUC
rnacentral:rRNA from 1 species